GUACAACUUCGGUCAUACAUAUUCUAAAAUUGGAACGAUACAGAGAAGAUUAGCAUGGCCCCUGCGCAAGGAUGACACGCAAAAAUCGCAAAUUUAAUAAGAGAUG